UACGUAGGGGGCGAGCGUUGUCCGGAUUUAUUGGGCGUAAAGAGCUCGUAGGCGGCUUGUUGCGUCGACUGUGAAAACCCGCGGCUUAACUGCGGGCUUGCAGUUGAUACGGGCAGGCUAGAGUUCGGUAGGGGAGACUGGAAUUCCUGGUGUAGCGGUGAAAUGCGCAGAUAUCAGGAGGAACACCGGUGGCGAAGGCGGGUUGCUGGGCUGACACUGACGCUGAACUGCGAAAGCUAGGGGAGCGAACGGG
rnacentral:rRNA from 1 species